rnacentral:rRNA from 1 species
AGAGUUUGAUCCUGGCUCAGGAUGAACGCUAGCGGCAGGCUUAACACACGCAAGUCGAGGGGUAUGGUUCUUCGGAACCAGAGACCGGCGCACGGGUGCGUAACGCGUAUGCAAUCUACCUUUUACAGAGGGAUAGCCCAGAGAAAUUUGGAUUAAUACCUCAUAGUAUAACGAGUUCGCAUGAAUUUGUUAUUAAAGUUCCAACGGUAAAAGAUGAGCAUGCGUCCCAUUAGCUAGAUGGUAAGGUAACGGCUUACCAUGGCUACGAUGGGUAGGGGUCCUGAGAGGGAGAUCCCCCACACUGGUACUGAGACACGGACCAGACUCCUACGGGAGGCAGCAGUGAGGAAUAUUGGUCAAUGGGCGCAAGCCUGAACCAGCCAUGCCGCGUGCAGGAUGACGGUCCUAUGGAUUGUAAACUGCUUUUGUACGAGAAGAGACACUCCUUCGUGAAGGAGCUUGACGGUAUCGUAAGAAUAAGGAUCGGCUAACUCCGUGCCAGCAGCCGCGGUAAUACGGAGGAUCCAAGCGUUAUCCGGAAUCAUUGGGUUUAAAGGGUCCGUAGGCGGUUUAGUAAGUCAGUGGUGAAAGCCCAUCGCUCAACGGUGGAACGGCCAUUGAUACUGCUAG